rnacentral:misc_RNA from 1 species
UUUUUAAAGGAGCAACUACUUAAAAUCUUAUUCUAAUAAUCAUUUAUAUUAAACAAGCUGUUCAUAGCCAUUUUUUACAAAGAUACAUGUGGACACUGAUAAACAGACAUAGAAAGACUACAAGACAAAAAAAUUCACAUAAAAUACAGAAUCAACACUUUAUCACAUUCAGUGAUAAUGAAUAUCUAAGACUUGUGACCAUUAUCAGGUUCUUGUUUCAUCUCAACUUUGAUGGCUGCAGCCAACUGAUCAUAGGCUUCACCCCAAGCACUACCCAUAUCCUCACUCCAUUUGUCUCCAACUGCCUCUUUAACUGUUCUUAUAAGUGCUUCUUUCACCACCUGAAAAUGAGGUUCAAGAACUCCAUUCUUCAGAUGGACAGAACCCAAAUGUUUGAGAGUGGUUUCACCCACCACUACCUCUCCCUUCUCCCUCAGU